rnacentral:rRNA from 1 species
GAUGAACGCUGGCGGCGUGCCUAAUACAUGCAAGUCGAACGCUGAAGGAGGAGCUUGCUCUUCUGGAUGAGUUGCGAACGGGUGAGUAACGCGUAGGUAACCUGCCUGGUAGCGUGGGAUAACUAUUGGAAACGAUAGCUAAUACCGCAUGACAACAGUUAUUGCAUGAUGACUGUUUGAAAGGGGCAACUGCUCCACUACCAGAUGGACCUGCGUUGUAUGAGCUAGUUGGUGAGGUAACGGCUCACCAAGGCGACGAUACAUAGCCGAACGGAGAGGGGGAUUGGCCAGCCUGGGACUGUGACACGGCACAGAGUGCUACGGGAGGCAGCCGGAGGGAAUCGUCGGCAAGGGACGGAAGACUGACCGAGAUACGCCGAGGGAGUGAAGAAGGUUGUCGGGUCGGAAAGCUCUGUUGUAAGAGAAGAACGAGUGUGAGAGUGGAAAGUACACACUGUGACGGUAGCUGAUCAGAAAGGGACGGCUAACUACGUG